AUUAGCUAGUUGGCGGGGUAAUGGCCCACCAAGGCGAUGAUCGGUAGCUGGUCUGAGAGGAUGAUCAGCCACACUGGGACUGAGACACGGCCCAGACUCUUACGGGAGGCAGCAGUGGGGAAUUUUGGACAAUGGGGGCAACCCUGAUCCAGCCAUUCCGCGUGAGUGAAGAAGGCCUUCGGGUUGUAAAGCUCUUUUGUCCGGAACGAAACGGUUGGCGUGAAUAUCGCCGACUACUGACGGUACCGGAAGAAUAAGCACCGGCUAACUACGUGCCAGCAGCCGCGGUAAUACGUAGGGUGCGAGCGUUAAUCGGAAUUACUGGGCGUAAAGCGUGCGCAGGCGGUUUUGUAAGCCAGAUGUGAAAGCCCCGGGCUUAACCUGGGAAUGGCAUUUGGGACUGCAAGGCUUGAGUGCGGCAGAGGAGACUGGAAUUCCUGGUGUAGCAGUGAAAUGCGUAGAUAUCAGGAGGAAUACCGAUGGCGAAGGCAGGUCUCUGGGCUGACACUGACGCUCAUGCACGAAAGCGUGGGGAGCAAACAGGAUUAGAUACCCUGGUAGUCCACGCCCU
rnacentral:rRNA from 1 species